rnacentral:tRNA from 2 species
GCGGCAGUAGUUCAAUUGGUAGAGCAUCAGCCUUCCAAGCUGAUUGUUGCGGGUUCGAGUCCCGUCUGCCGCUCCA